rnacentral:rRNA from 1 species
UCAUGACUCCUAGAUUUUAUGUCUCUUUUCUGUCUUCCUAUAAUAUUUAUUAUCCGGUAUGAACUCAGAUCACGAAUCGGGGGGUUUUAAAAACAUGUCCUUUUGAUAAUAAUUUAAGGUCUAACCUGCCCUAUGAGGAUUUAAAUGGCCGCGGUAUUUUGACCGUGCAAAGGUAGCAUAAUAAUUAGUUUUUUAAUUGAAAGCUGGUAUGAAUGGUUGAAUGAGAAAGUAACUGUCUCUUUUUAAUUUUUAGAAUUUUAUUUUUGAGUAAGAAAGCUUAAAUUUUAAUAAAAGACGAGAAGACCCUAUAGAGUUUUAUUAAAUUUAUUUUUUAAAAAUUUUUUAGUAUUUAGGAUAUAAACAUUAAAUUUAAUUUGAUUGGGGCGAUUGAAAAACUAAAACAACUUUUUUUAUUUUUUUACAUUUAUUUGUGAGUAAUUGAUCCUUUGUUAGAGAUUAAAAGAAAAAAUUACCUUAGGGAUAACAGCGUAAUCUUCUUUGAGAGUUCUAAUCGAAAGGAGGGUUUGCGACCUCGAUGUUGGAUUAAAAUAAAAUUUUGGUGUAGAAGCUGAAAGGUUAGGUCGUCGGAUUAAUCAACG